rfam:Pteropus alecto contig9011, whole genome shotgun sequence.
GUCUACGGCUAUGCCACUCUGAACAAGCCUGAUCCUGUCUGAUCUCGGAUUCUAAGCAGGGUCAGGCCUGGUUAGUACUUGGAUGGGAGACCACCUAGGAAGACCAGGUGCUGUAGGUG